GGGAGUGGGAGGACCGCUGACAGAGCCAGACUCUGAGGAAAGUCCCCUCUCCACGGUGCACAUGGGCCGCACAAGCGGCAGGUCGGAAACGAUCAGGUCAAUGCAGCAGAAACGAACGACGCGUGGGUUGAACGAUGAUGUCGAAAGACGGAGGUUUCCACGUGGUCGAUGAGACGAGCAACCCCAUGGGAGCAAGCCCAGACAGCCCUGACGACGCGGCACGCCGAGGGGCGGGUAGGGUGCACAGUUGAAUGCGGUCACCGUUUUUCGGGAACAGAAAGGGGCUUACUCCCCACUCCC
rfam:Marine metagenome ctg_1101667134817, whole genome shotgun sequence.